GAUGAACGCUGGCGGCGUGCCUAAUACAUGCAAGUCGAGCGAAUGGAUUAAGAGCUUGCUCUUAUGAAGUUAGCGGCGGACGGGUGAGUAACACGUGGGUAACCUGCCCAUAAGACUGGGAUAACUCCGGGAAACCGGGGCUAAUACCGGAUAACAUUUUGAACCGCAUGGUUCGAAAUUGAAAGGCGGCUUCGGCUGUCACUUAUGGAUGGACCCGCGUCGCAUUAGCUAGUUGGUGAGGUAACGGCUCACCAAGGCAACGAUGCGUAGCCCACCGGGGAGGGGGAUCGGCAACACUGGAACGGAGACACGGCCCAGACUCCUACGGGAGGCAGCAGUAGGGAAUCUUCCGCAAUGGACGAAAGUCUGACGGAGCAACGCCGGGUGAGUGAUGAAGGCUUUCGGGUCGUAAAACUCUGUUGUUAGGGAAGAACAAGUGCUAGUUGAAUAGGCUGGCACCUUGACGGUACCUAACCAGAAAGCCACGGCUAACUACGUGCCAGCAGCCGCCGUAA
rnacentral:rRNA from 1 species